UCGAAACGGUUGUUAACCAAGGAAGUCAUAUCUGCACAUUCUGUUGAGUCACGUACAUCAAACUUAAAACAAAAUGUGUAUAGCGUAUCACCGCCAGCAAAGUAUUGUUAAAAACAAUCAAAACACAAGCUUUGUAAUGGAUAGUUAAUAGUAGUAACUUAGUAAUAGUUACACAUCGUUCGCUUUCUCAUUUAACUUAGACGCGAAGACAGAUUCCAAUGUUAUAUUUUUGUCCGUUAGCUAACGUUAAGGUUAAAUAUGAAGAUACAGUCAGAAGGUGGCUAGCAAGGCGAAACCGCUAGACUGUCUCCGUUCGAAAUUCACUACUACAUCUAAAGCUCACUAAUUAACGUUAGCUCGUUAAUUAACACCUGGACUUUAAGCAUAUUAAAAUAUAAAUAACAAAGUGUGUGUGUGAGUGUAUGCAGGUAAUAGAGAACAGGUGGGCACACUGGAUUGGUCCUGCAGAGCUGAUUGCUGCCUCCUGAUUGGUCACCUGGAUGACAGCAGCCAUCUUAAACCCCACUGACAGGAACCCCCCCCCCACACCCUGCCAUUCCCAACCUGAGCCUGUAUACUGUGUGUAUUAUCUGUUUCCAUUGAGUAGAGAACCUAGAGCCCUGCACGGGCCUCAAAUCUAGGCCCAAGUCCAGCCCUGGCCCGAGACGCUCAGGCAAUAGCCCGACCCGUGUCCGACAGCUCAUCAAAAUUAUUAGCCCGAGUCCGAGCCCAAGCCCGAGCCUGUUUUUUGUUUUUUUGUUUUUUUCAUUACAUAGCAACAGCCUGCCCUAUUUGCAGCCAUUAAAAUAUGUCAGUUUUGUUA